rnacentral:rRNA from 1 species
GACGAACGCUGGCGGCGUGCUUAACACAUGCAAGUCGAACGGAAAGGCCCUGCUUUUGUGGGGUGCUCGAGUGGCGAACGGGUGGGUAACACGUAAGUAACCUGCCCUUGACUUUGGGAUAACUUCAGGAAACUGGGGCUAAUACCGGAUAGGAGCUCCUGCUGCAUGGUGGGGGUUGGAAAGUUUCGGCGGUUGGGGAUGGACUCGCGGCUUAUCAGCUUGUUGGUGGGGUAGUGGCUUACCAAGGCUUUGACGGGUAGCCGGCCUGAGAGGGUGACCGGCCACAUUGGGACUGAGAUACGGCCCAGACUCCUACGGGAGGCAGCAGUGGGGAAUAUUGCACAAUGGGCGGAAGCCUGAUGCAGCAACGCCGCGUGCGGGAUGACGGCCUUCGGGUUGUAAACCGCUUUCGCCUGUGACGAAGCGUGAGUGACGGUAAUGGGUAAAGAAGCACCGGCUAACUACGUG